rnacentral:rRNA from 1 species
UUACCUACGGGGGGCAGCAGUGGGGAAUAUUGCACAAUGGGGGAAACCCUGAUGCAGCAACGCCGCGUGAGUGAAGAAGUCAUUCGUGAUGUAAAGCUCUAUCAGCAGGGAAGAAAAUGACGGUACCUGACUAAGAAGCCCCGGCUAACUACGUGCCAGCAGCCGCGGUAAUACGUAGGGGGCAAGCGUUAUCCGGAUUUACUGGGUGUAAAGGGAGCGUAGACGGCGACGCAAGUCUGGAGUGAAAUGCCAGUGCUCAACACUGGAACUGCUUUGGAAACUGUGUGGCUAGAGUGCAGGAGAGG